rnacentral:rRNA from 1 species
CGAACGGGUGAGUAACGCGUGAGGAACCUGCCUCAAAGAGGGGGACAACAGUUGGAAACGACUGCUAAUACCGCAUAAGCCCACGGCUCGGCAUCGAGCAGAGGGGAAAGGAGCAAUCCGCUUUGAGAUGGCCUCGCGUCCGAUUAGCUAGUUGGUGAGGUAACGGCCCACCAAGGCGACGAUCGGUAGCCGGACUGGGAGGUUGAACGGCCACAUUGGGACUGAGACACGGACCAA